rnacentral:rRNA from 1 species
UAAAAGCACGUGAAACCGUUGAAAGGGAAACGCGCUCGGCUAGCAAUGUGCCUCGGUGGUUCAGCCAGCUUGUCGGUGGAGGUCGCGUGUCCGUCGGAUCCGAAUGGACUGCGGGCGUGGUGGUCUGCCGUCGAGUUGCGGUGCACUCUGUCGGGGUACGCGUCAGCGUCGGUUUGCGCCGGGUGACAAGGCCGGUUGGAAGGUAGCUCUGAGCUUGCUCCGAGUGUUAUAGCCAGCUGUGCUGAGCCUGACGUAGACCGAGGAGAGAGAGGAUCGUUGCAGCGCAUGCCGCAAGGCUAGCUGCCCGCCGUUCGGUUUGCUUCACGGGCUGAGGACUGCACGCAGUGUUCGGCUUGGCGGGGUGGCCGGGCGGUGGAGCGGUAUAAUUGCGCUUAGGACGCUGGCGUCCAAAUGGCCGUGCGUGA